rnacentral:rRNA from 1 species
UACGUAGGCAGCGAGCGUUGUUCGGAGUUACUGGGCGUAAAGGGUGCGUAGGCGGUUGUUUAAGUUUGGUGUGAAAUCUCCCGGCUCAACUGGGAGGGUGCGCCGAAUACUGAAUGACUAGAGUGCGGGAGAGGAGAGUGGAAUUCCUGGUGUAGCGGUGAAAUGCAUAGAUAUCAGGAGGAACACCGGUGGUGUAGACGGCUCUCUGGACCGUAACUGACGCUGAGGCACGAAAGCGUGGGUAGCAAACAGG